rnacentral:rRNA from 1 species
GUGAGGAAUUUUGCGCAAUGGGGGCAACCCUGACGCAGCGACGCCGCGUGGAGGACGAAGUCUUUCGGGAUGUAAACUCCUGUCAGUGGGGACGAUAAUGACGGUACCCACAGAGGAAGCACCGGCUAACUCCGUGCCAGCAGCCGCGGUAAGACGGAGGGUGCAAGCGUUGUUCGGAAUUACUGGGCGUAAAGUGUAUGUAGGCGGCAAGUUAAGUUCAAUGUUAAAGCCCACGGCUCAACCGAGGAGAUGCAUUGAAUACUGGCUAGCUAGAGGGUGUUAGAGGAAGACGGAAUUCCCAGUGUAGCGGUGAAAUGCGUAGAUAUUGGGAGGAACAUCGGUAGCGAAAGCGGUCUUCUGGGACAUACCUGACGCUGAGGUACGAAAGCGUGGGGAGCAAACAGGAUUAGAAACCCUAGUAGUCC